rnacentral:misc_RNA from 1 species
GUGUGCUGAUUCGUUAGUUUCAAAAGGAAAAGGUCAAAGAGGACAUAUUCUACGAGGAAUGUUUACACUACUGUGUUAACGCCAAUUUAACCAAUUAUUAAUCAGUUCUCUUAGUCAGGAAAAGAAUGAUUGGUUUGUAACAUAUUUUGUUGGAUAUGUAUAAGAAGAUGAAAGCGACAUCUACUCGUUAAUGUGAACAAGUAAAAACGUAAGAAGUCACAGAUGGCUGUCUCAAAUCAACAACCGGUGCAGUGAACGAGCGAAGUGACGCGGUUAUGUACGCAAAACAAUCGCGUCAGACGCGUAAAACAUCGUGAAACAUGUAAGGAGUUGUUAUCGUAAGUGCCAUCGUGUUGAAUUUUACGUUUCUUUUUGUUUCACAAUACGGCCGAUUACUAGUGAAAGCAAAAUUUGGCUCGAUCCGCCGUUAUCUUUACGAAUUGGUUUUAUCGUCGGUGACGUACGGUUUUGGGGCACCGAGGCCAAACACGAAUCGCUGUUCAAGGAUGAGCGCGAACAAUGUGCAAGCACUUUUCGCAUGUUCAAGAUGCUUUUCAAGGCAUCCUUUUGAAGAACUUUCUCCAGGGCAACAAUUGUGUAAGGAAUGCAGAGGUGCAUUUCCUGUGGUGAAAUGUACAUAUUGUAGAUCAGAAUUCCAACAAACGAUAAAGGGUAAUACAAGCACUAUUUGUAAGAAAUGUGAACAAAAUGUGAAAUCUUAUGGUAAGCCAUCGGCCUGUGAAUAUUGCAAUACCAUAGCUGCAUUUAUUGGUAGUAAAUGUCAAAGAUGUACAAAUUCUGAGAAGCGUUAUGGGCCACCAGUUACUUGCGAACAAUGCAAACAAAAGUGUGCCUUUGACAGACAAGACGAAGACAAGAAGGUUGAUGGAAAAUUAUUAUGUUGGCUGUGUACAUUGUCAUACAAACGAGCAUUGGCAAAAACAAAACAAUCCGAUGCUGAAAGGAGGGCACAUUUGAAAUUAGCACAACAACGAGCAGCAAAGCACAAAGAACAAAAAUUAAAGAGUCACAAUAAGAGACCACACAGAGUAGAUGUGACGAAGCUACCGCCUCAGUCCGAAGGUGCGGACACAAAUGGUCCAACACCGGUGAAAGCAGCGCGAAUGGUUGGUGUUCAUGAUCCACAUGAUCCCAAUAGUUCGGAUCAUGUAGUCGCGGUUACACAACUUAAAGAAAAGAUAGCUCAUCUUCAAAAACAAAUAUCUAUUAAAGAUGGGCAAUUACUUGCUAAAGAUAGACAAAUUACAGAAUUGAAAGCAAAAAAUUUUACAUCAGAAACAGAGCUACGUAAUAAAAUGAAAGCGACAGAAAAAGAGUACGAAGCUAAAAUAUCGACGAUGCAACACAAGAUUUCCAGUUUGCUGAAAGAAGUUGCUUCCUUAUCGAAGAGUUCUAAGCGAGGUGAUAGAGUAGCUGCCACAAAAACAGAAGCUGGGACCAACAGUGGAAGCGGAACAGACAGUCCUGUACCUUGAUAAGGGACUUGGUUAGCCGUGACAACAUACUCAAAUGUCCAUACCCGCAUAAAUCAUGUGGAAUAUAUAUUGUCUUCGACGUGUACACGGAAAAUCAUACACGUUCUUCUUAAGGGGGAUGAUGAUGAUGAUGAUGAUGAUGAUGAUGAUGAUGAUGACGAUGAUGCAAGUGCAAAGAAAGGUGUUAUUCAUAAGUUAGGUAGUUUCCCUCUUUCUGUUCCGUUUCAUGACCAUCCCGCAAACGCGAAUUUUUGAGACUAAAUAUCGUGAAAAAUUUGUUUAUAUUACGAAGAAACCGCCAUUUCGAAAUCGAAUUGUACAAUAAUGAAUCGGAGAGGCAUUUGAUCUCCGAUAGAAGUGAUUUUUAAAUUAAAAUUUACGAUCGAAGUUGAUACUUGCGAGAAAUGAACAGAGUUAUAUGCAGACACAUAUACACAUACACACACUAUAAUUGAGCAAUAGUGCUGCUGUAACAUUUUCCUAUCUAUAACGAUGAAGAUGUAACGACGAUGAACCAGGAUAUGGUGAUUGUAGAUCAAUUUACAAUAAAAGGUUAAAAACGAUA